GAGCCACUCUCCGAGAAAAAGGAGCUAAAUGCAUCUGCAUAAAGUGUAGUCCCGUAUAAUCCUGUGCAGUCAGAGUUGACAUUUUUCUGCUUGAACUUUUUUUUGCUGAGAAGAGACUUCCUUAAAGGGAAAAUGUGAGAAAGCAGAAAGGUUUGGCUGAAAAGAGACUUCCUUAAAACGUAAAUGUGAGAAAGCAGAAAGGUUUGGCUGAAAAGAGACUUCCUUAAAACGUAAAUGUGAGAAAGCAGAAAGGUUUGGCUGAAAAGAGACUUCCUUAAAGGGAAAAUGUCAGAAAGCAGAAAGGUUUGGCUGAAAAGAGACUUCCUUAAAGGAAAAAUGUGAGAAAGCAGAAAGGUUUGGCUGAAAAGAGACUUCCUUAAAGGGAAAAUGUGAGAAAGCAGAAAGGUUUGGCUGAAAAGAGACUUCCUUAAAGGGAAAAUGUGAGAAAGCAGAAAGGUUUGGCUGAAAAGAGACUUCCUUAAAGGGAAAAUGUGAGAAAGCAGAAAGGUUUGGCUGAAAAGAGACUUCCUUAAAGGGAAAAUGUGAGAAAGCAGAAAGGUUUGGCUGAAAAGAGACUUCCUUAAAGGGAAAAUGUCAGAAAGCAGAAAGGUUUGGCUGAAAAGAGACUUCCUUAAAGGGAAAAUGUGAGAAAGCAGAAAGGUUUGGCUGAAAAGAGACUUCCUUAAAGGGAAAAUGUCAGAAAGCAGAAAGGUUUGGCUGAAAAGAGACUUCCUUAAAGGGAAAAUGUGAGAAAGCAGAAAGGUUUGGCUGAAAAGAGACUUCCUUAAAGGGAAAAUGUGAGAAAGCAGAAAGGUUUGGCUGAAAAGAGACUUCCUUAAAGGGAAAAUGUGAGAAAGCAGAAAGGUUUGGCUGAAAAGAGACUUCCUUAAAGGGAAAAUGUGAGAAAGCAGAAAGGUUUGGCUGAAAAGAGACUUCCUUAAAGGGAAAAUGUGAGAAAGCAGAAAGGUUUGGCUGAAAAGAGACUUCCUUAAAGGGAAAAUGUGAGAAAGCAGAAAGGUUUGGCUGAAAAGAGACUUCCUUAAAGGGAAAAUGUGAGAAAGCAGAAAGGUUUGGCUGAAAAGAGACUUCCUUAAAGGGAAAAUGUGAGAAAGCAGAAAGGUUUGGCUGAAAAGAGACUUCCUUAAAGGGAAAAUGUGAGAAAGCAGAAAGGUUUGGCUGAAAAGAGACUUCCUUAAAGGGAAAAUGUCAGAAAGCAGAAAGGUUUGGCUGAGAAGAGACUUCCUUAAAGGGAAAAUGUCAGAAAGCAGAAAGGUAUGGCUGAAAAGAGACUUCCUUAAAGGGAAAAUGUCAGAAAGCAGAAAGGUUUGGCCCUGCUGAGCCUUAACAGACUGCUCAGGCUAUUCGUGGACGACACUUUAUGCACAUGCAUUAAGCCCCAUUUUCCCAGAGCAAGGUUCUGUACAAGGUGUAUGUAAUAUUGAUAUACAUUUCCAUUCAUGUGAUGACAGAAAUCAAUAUUAGAAUCAAUGCUUAUGUUAGUGAAGUAAAGAUACACAUUAUUUGAAUACAAUUUAAGUUUUAGUUAAUGUCCAAUUAUAUAUAUAUUUUUUAAUUGACCUUUUUCACCUUCUCAAAGUUUUUAUGCCCCCAUUUCGAAGAAAAGGGGGUAUAUAGUUUUCGCACUGUCCAUCGGUCGGUCGGUCACACUUUUCGUGUCCGCUCUCUAAUUCAAAGAGUUUUCAUCUGAUCUUUACCAAACUUGGUCAGAAGUUGUAUCAAGACAAUAUCUAGGUCAAGUUCGAAUAUGGGUUAUGCCGGGUCAAAAACUAGGUCACGGGGUCACUUAGUGCAUUUCAAGGAUUUAGUAUGGUGUCUGCUCUCUAGUUGAAGUAGUUUUUAUCAGAUCUUCACCAAAUUUGGUCAGAAGUUGUAUCUAAACCAUAUCUAAGUCAAGUUGGAAUAUGGGUCAUGCCUGGUCAAAAACUAGGUCACUUAGUGCAUUUCAAUAACUUCUAUCAAAGCGUUUAUUGGGGGCAUAUGUCAUCCUAUGGAGACAGCUCUUGUUCAGUACAAAAAAGCAUACAAAACAAGACUUACAAGAUAAUGGCCAUACUGUCCAUGCUUAUUUUUGAAUGUGCAGUAGUUAAAAUGUUUAUGAUUUAAUACUUAUUGAUUUGUUUGUUAUUCAAAAGUUGUACAGUUUUUAGUUAAUUAAAUUCUUUUUACAUGGUAUGUAUGAUAGAGAAUUCAUGUUAACAGCUAGUACAAGUAGUAAGUUCCAAUAUUUCUAAAAGUAAAACUUAUAUCUUUGGGGCUUGAAAAUUGCCUUUGUCCACUUGUCCUGUUAGUUAUUUUGUUUCAAGACAAGCUUUAAUAAUAAUUGUUGCUCAAUGAAGUGGCGAAUCACCUGUCAAUCUGGCUAUAAAAUAAUGCUUCUGGCUGAUUUAGAAAGAAGGAAAAUAUGUAUUUUUAUAGGUAUUUAACAUAUCACGUACACUGUGCAACCUCUAUAAACCACUGUCCUGAGUCUUGUUUUGUAUUCAUCAAUUUAAUAUUGUGGGGUGAUAAUCGUUAAAAAUUGAAAUUUAAAACUUGUCUAUUUUAUUUUAACUAUUAUGUUGUUAUGUCUCCCACCACUAUAGUGGGGGACAUAUUGUUUUGCCCUGUCUGUUGGUUUGUUUGUUUGUUUGUGUGUUUGUUUGUUUGCCCCAACUUUAAUAUUUGCAAUAACUUUUGCAAUAUUGAAGAUAGCAACUUGAUAUUUGGCAUGCAUGUGUAUAUCAUGGAACUGCACAUUUUGAGUGGUGAAAGGUCAAGGUCAUCCUUCAAGGUCAAAGGUCAAAUAUAUAGCUUCAAAGCGGCGCAGAAGGGGACAUAUGAGAUUUGCCGUACUACUUAAUUAAACAUGUUUAAAACAUUUAGUUCCAUUGUAUAAGUAUAUUAAUAAUCAAGUUGCUUAUAUACAUAAUACUUAAAAUAAUUUUUAAUUAAAUUAAGUAUUGUUAAAUAUAUAUAAAUCAAGUAUUGCAACACAAGUUAAUGUAUGUGACUUAUACAGUGCCUUCCACAGGAUUUUUUUCAGACGCCCCGGGUCGUUUAGGGGGGGGGGAGGUACUUAUUUCUUUUCCUGCCGCUACUCAUUACCAGAUAAUCUGGUAUAUUCCAGUUUAAAAAGCAAAAUCUGGUAAAUAUUUAUGAUAAAAGUGCUCAAGAAAUUCAAGAAACACAAACAUUCGCCAUUUUUCUUAAGUAUCAAAUACAUUUUGGCAUAUGUUACUAUUUAAAGAUAUGAUGAAAUGUCCAAUCGGGGCGUUUCUUUCCCUCUAAACAUGCGUAAAUCUCCUGAACAGAUGUUCUCCGUUUUAUACAACACAAAAUAAACUCACACUUUCCAUGCGACGUCCUACAUGUCUGCAUAAUUUUCGCGCGCUUUUUAUUGAGACAAAAGAUAAAGCACUGUUUAUUUGACGCUAUAAUUUGUUGAUAUUUGUUAGCAUUAAAAUUUGGAAACGUGUUUCGGAUUACAAAUUUAAUAAUACUCAUUUGAGAAUCGACAGAUACAUUUACAGUUGUGCGUAAUUAAUUCAACGAUAAUUUGUAAAAGCGCAUUACGAGUCGAAUACAUGUUUUGACCAUAUUAUGCAUGAAAUGCACAAUAUCCACGAGGAUUACACCCGGUUGUAAGUAAGUUAGUGACCGAGACUCGUCAUAUGCAUGAUCUUAAUGCAAGUAUUACUGCCCAUAAGUGUUGUCGCUCAUUCAAACCGUGCGCUCUCAUUGGCCAAUAUUGAUAUUCCAUUACAACGACAACCCACCUUUAGGCGGGCUUUAGGUGGGUAAAGAGAUGCAUGACGUAUUUGACAGAGGAUCAUAAAUCGGCUCUUACAAUUUCGGCGCAGUCGAUAUCGCUUUGAUCUUAAUAAUGCCUAGUUGCAGUAUGAAAAAUACACACUUAUCAGAAAAUUUCAAAGGGCCAGCAGACUCUGAUUUCGACCUUCAAGUGCCCCGGCGAGGGACCGUUAAAAUGGCCUGUGGAAAGCACUGUUAUAUUUAUUAAUUAUUCAAUUUUCUUUAAAUUACAAGUAACAAAUUGGAUCUAAAGUUAUAUUUGAUUAUUUCAUAUAAUAGCCAAAAUAGAUGUGGGUAGCGCUUAACUCACCAUCUUAUUCUAUUCUGAAGUUUUCUGAUUUUUUUCUUGAGUGCUUUCUCUCUUUAUGAAAAGAAAAUUCUGGUAUUUGGCACUAUUUGGGAAAGAACGCUCUUUUUAUGUCCCCCACCACUAUAGUGUGGGGACAUAUUGUUUUUGCCCUGUCUGUUGGUUUGUUUGUGUGUUUGUUUGUUUGCCCCAACUUUAACAUUUGCAAUAACUUUUGCAAUAUUGAAGAUAGCAGCUUGAUAUUUUGCAUGCAUGUGUAUUGCAUGGAGCUGCAAAUUUUGAGUGGUGAAAGGUCAAAGUCAAGGUCAUCCUUCAAGGUCAAAGGUCAAAUAUAUAGCUUCAAAGCGGCGCAAAAGGGGACAUAGUGUUUCUGACGAACACAUAUCUUGUUUCGUCAUGGUUCUUACUCAUAGCAAUUACUGACUAAAUGCUUUGCCUCUAUCUGGUUUUAACAUAUAAGUUUAUUUUAUACACACCUGUAUUUGGGAAGAUGUUAGAAUAGUUGGAGCAAAUUUCAUUUUUAGCUCAUCUAUUUUUUUUUUAAAUUAUGAGCUAUUUUCAUCACCUUGGCGUCGGCGUCCGGUUAAGUUUUGUUUUUAGUCCACUUGUCUCAGAAAGUAUCAAUGCUAUUGCAUUCAAACUUAGUACACUUACUUACUAUCAUGAGGGGACUGGGCAGGCAAAGUUAGAUAACUCUGGCUUGCAUUUUGACAGAAUUGUGCCCUUUUUAUACUUAAAAAAUUGAAAAUUUUUGUCUAGUUUUGUGUUUAGGUCCAUUUUAUUCCUUAAGUAUCAAAGCUAUUGCUUUCAUACUUGCAAAACUUACUAACUAUCAUAAGAGGACUGUGCAGGCAAAGUUAUGUAACUCUGACUGGCAUUUUGACAGAAUUAUGUGCCCUUUUUAUACUUAGAAAAUUGAAAAUUUGGUUAAGUUUUGUGUUUAGGUCCACUUUUUUCCUAAAGUAUCAAAGCUAUUGCUUUCAAACUUGCAACACUUACUUACUAUCGUAAGGGGACUGUGCAGGCAAAGUUAUGUAACUCUGACUGGCAUUUUGACGGAAUAUUGGGCCCUUUAUACUUAAAAAUUUGGUUAAGUUUUGUGUUUUGGUCCACUUUACCCCUAUUAAAAGUAUCAUAGAUAUUGCUUUCAUACUUGGAACACUCGCAAACUGUCAUAAGGGGACAGUAAAGGACAAGUUGCAUAACUCUGGUUGUCAUUUUUACGGAAUUAUGGCCCUUUUUUGACUUAGUAACUUUGAAUAUAUGGUUACAUUUUGUGUUUAGAUCCACUUUACUUCUAAAGUAUCAAGGCUAUUGCUUUUAAAUUUCAAAUACUUUCAUGCUAUCAGGUACUGUACCGGGCAAGUUGAAUUUUACCUUGACCUUUGAAUGACCUUGACUCUCAAGGUCAAAUUAUUAAAUUUUGCUAAAAUUGCCAUAACUUCUUAAUUUAUGAUUAGAUUCAAUUGAUACUUUGACAAAACAACUCUUACCUGACAAACCACAAUAGACU